rnacentral:rRNA from 1 species
GUGCCAGCAGCCGCGGUAGUACGGAGGGCGCAAGCGUUACUCGGAAUCACUGGGCGUAAAGAGAGUGUAGGCGGGUAAAAAAGUUAGAAGUGAAAUCCUAUGGCUUAACCAUAGAACUGCUUGUAAAACUCUUUACCUAGAAUAUGGGAGAGGUAGAUGGAAUUUCUGGUGUAGGGGUAAAAUCCGUAGAGAUCAGAAGGAAUACCGAUUGCGAAGGCGAUCUACUGGAGCAUUAUUGACGCUGAGACUCGAAAGCGUGGGGAGCAAACAGGAUUAGAUACCCUGGUAGUCCACGCCCUAAACGAUGUACAUUAGUUGUUGUGAGGCUAGACCUUGCAGUAAUGCAGUUAACACAUUAAAUGUACCGCCUGGGGAGUACGGUCGCAAGAUUAAAACUCAAAGGAAUAGACGGGGACCCGCACAAGCGGUGGAGCAUGUGGUUUAAUUCGACGAUACGCGAAGAACCUUACCUGGCCUUGACAUAGUUAGAACCUAACGCAGAGAUGUAAAAGUGCUAGUUUACUAGAGCUUUCAUACAGGUGCUGCACGGCUGUCGUCAGCUCGUGUCGUGAGAUGUUAGGUUAAGUCCUGCAACGAGCGCAACCCUCGUGUUUAGUUACUAACAGAUUAUGCUGAGGACUCUAGACAUACUGCCUGGGCAACCAGGAGGAAGGUGAGGACGACGUCAAGUCAUCAUGGCCCUUACGGCCAGGGCUACACACGUGCUACAAUGGGGUAUACAAAGAGCAGCGAUACCGCGAGGUGGAGCAAAUCUCAUAAAAUAUCUCCCAGUUCGGAUUACACUCUGCAACUCGAGUGUAUGAAGUUGGAAUCGCUAGUAAUCGUAGAUCAGCAAUGCUACGGUGAAUACGUUCCCGGGUCUUGUACUCACCGCCCGUCACACCAUGGGAGUUGAAUUCAUUCGAAGCGGGGAUGCUAAAGUAGCUACCUUCCACAGUGGAUUUAGUAACUAGGGUGAAGUCGUAACAAGGUAGCC